CCUACGGGAGGCAGCAGUGAGGAAUAUUGGUCAAUGGGCGCGAGCCUGAACCAGCCAAGUCGCGUGAGGGAAGACGGUCCUAUGGAUUGUAAACCUCUUUUGUCGGGGAGCAAAAGACGCCACGCGUGGCGUUCCGAGAGUACCCGAAGAAAAAGCAUCGGCUAACUCCGUGCCAGCAGCCGCGGUAAUACGUAGGGGGCAAGCGUUAUCCGGAUUUACUGGGUGUAAAGGGAGCGUAGACGGCAGCACAAGUCUGGAGGGAAAGCCCGGGGCUUAACCCCGGAACUGCUUUGGAAAACGUGUGGCCGGGGUGCAGGAGGGGUGAGGGGAAUUUCGAGGGUAGCGGUGAAAUGCGUAGAUAUUAGGAGGAAAAACGGUGGCGAAGGCGGCUUAAGGGAAUGGAACUGACGUUGAGGGUCGAAAGCGUGGGGAGCAAACAGGAUUAGAUACCCGUGUAGUC
rnacentral:rRNA from 1 species